rnacentral:sRNA from 1 species
UUUGGAUAAAAGGAGGAAUGUGAGGGAGAAAGGAAGAGUGAAUAAAGAGGAAGAUAGGGUUUGUGAGAGUUUAAGGCUUAAG